UCUGCAUAAAUUUGUAUCAGACCAAGAGAUUUGAGCAAAUCACUUUGUGGAAGUUUAAAUUAGUAACACUAAUCUGAAAUUGAUAAAGAUUUACAUAUAAAUGAAAUUUCGGAUUACUUGGAUAACCGUAUGUCCUUUAGCAUUUAUACUAUAAAAAUAAUUUUGAAUAACUUUGUAUAAGUUUGCAAAUUACGGUUGA
rnacentral:ncRNA from 1 species